GAUGAACGCUGGCGGCGUGCCUAAUACAUGCAAGUCGAGCGAACAGACGAGGCGCUUGCUUCGCUGACGUUAGCGGCGGACGGGUGAGUAACAGGUGGAUAACCUACCUUAAAGACUGGGACAACUUGGGGAAACCGGAGCUAAUACCGGAUAAUAUCUUGAACCGCAUGAUUCAAUAGUGAAUGACGGUUUUGCUGUCUUUUAUAGAUGGAUCCGCGCCGCAUUAGCUAGUUGGUAAGGUAACGGCUUACCAAGGCAACGAUGCGUAGCCGACCUGAGAGGGUGAUCGGCCACACUGGAACUGAGACACGGUCCAGACUCCUACGGGAGGCAGCAGUAGGGAAUCUUCCGCAAUGGGCGAAAGCCUGACGGAGCAACGCCGCGUGAGUGAUGAAGGUCUUCGGAUCGUAAAACUCUGUUAUUAGGGAAGAACAAAUGUGUAAGUAACUAUGCGCGUCUUGACGGUACCUAAUCAGAAAGCCACGGCUAACUACGUG
rnacentral:rRNA from 1 species